CACGUAGGAGGCGAGCGUGGUCCGGAAUCAUUGGGCGUAAAGGGCGCGUAGGCGGCUUGGCAAGUCGGGUGUGAAAUCCCGGGGCUCAACCCCGGGACUGCAUUCGAUACUGUCAGGCUAGAGGUAGGUAGGGGAGAUCGGAAUUCCUGGUGUAGCGGUGAAAUGCGUAGAUAUCUGGAGGAACACCGGUGGCGAAGGCGGCGUUCUGGACUGCAACUGACACUGAGGAACGAAAGCCAGGGGAGCAAACGGG
rnacentral:rRNA from 1 species